CUAUCGUAAUGCAAUUCGCUCUCGAACUUAGCGUUGCAAGCCUGAUCCAAGUGGACCAAGAAAUGGCCCGUACCAUUGAUUGUGAAAUCUUUAACGCCCUUAGGGAAUAGGCCCAUGGGCAGCCCAUGGUCCUUAAGAACAUCGUAGACUAAUGAAUCCUCCUCCCAUGGAUUGACACCUGGGAUUGAGAUUGCGAGAUAGAGAAUAAUAAGUGAAAGCAAAGGCAAGAAACGAACCAUGUUUUUGCCCUUUUCUUCUGUUUUGGUGUACCUGUGCGCGCGUUAGAGCAUGAAUUUAAUGGUGCAAGAUCAGGAAACUCUGUUUGUUUCUGGCGGUGGUGGUGUGAUGAGCUGACGCCUGACGCCUGACGCCCUUUUUAUGUUACAGUGAGGUGAGAUUAGGGAUAGGGUUUAGGGAUUGUUCAUCACAGAAAUG
rnacentral:misc_RNA from 1 species